UUCAGUCUGCCUGCAGCAGCCAUUUGGGAACCCAGCUGCCUUCCAUUCUGCUCACAUGUCCAGUGGAAUUGCUUUUUGGUCCUUUGUCUGGAUCCAGCCACUCAUACCAUUUUCCUCUCUCAGCGUGGAUAGAUGGGAAGAGGAAAACAUCUGAAAACUGACAAGAUGCUUCAGAUAAAGGCUGUCCACAGUAGGAAAUGGCAUGCUCAUUUUGGCCUGGGAAUAGCUGGUGAGGGCUGUGAGCAUUGGAGUCAAAGAAGGAGGAGAUUUGGAUACAGCGGAGCAGAUUCAGAAACUACCACUGAUAUAAGCUGUCUCCCGCUCAGCAACACAGGGGAAAGACCAAGACAAUCUCCCACCAUCAGAGAAAAGGCCGUCAGAGUAAAGUCUUCCUCG